rnacentral:sRNA from 1 species
AUUCUAGUUUUUAUACUCAAUCAUACACAUGACAUCUAGUCAUAUCUGACUCCAAAAUACUAACCAAGCUUCUUCGUGCUUCUCAAAGCUUUGAUGGUGUUGUCGAAGUCCGUAGGAGUCUUUGGAUUGGUAUCUUCUAACAAGGAAACAUUACAUAGGA